rnacentral:rRNA from 1 species
UGGGGAAUUGUUCGCAAUGGGCGCAAGCCUGACGACGCAACGCCGCGUGGAGGAUGAAGGUCUUCGGAUUGUAAACUCCUGUUGCCCGGGACGAAUGCUCUCGACCUAACACGUCGAGAGGUGACGGUGCCGGGUGAGGAAGCCCCGGCUAACUCUGUGCCAGCAGCCGCGGUAAUACAGAGGGGGCAAGCGUUGUUCGGAGUUACUGGGCGUAAAGGGCGCGUAGGCGGCCGGCUCAGUCGAACGUGAAAUCCCCGGGCUCAACCCGGGAACUGCGUUCGAUACUGGCUGGCUUGAAUCCGGGAGAGGGAUGCGGAAUUCCAGGUGUAGCGGUGAAAUGCGUAGAUAUCUGGAGGAACACCGGUGGCGAAGGCGGCAUCCUGGACCGGCAUUGACGCUGAGGCGCGAAAGCCAGGGGAGCAAACGGGAUUAGAUACCCCGGUAGUCCUGGCCCUAAACGAUGAAUGCUUGGUGUGGCGGGUAUCGAUCCCUGCUGUGCCGAAGCUAACGCAUUAAGCAUUCCGCCUGGGGAGUACGGUCGCAAGGCUGC